rnacentral:sRNA from 2 species
CCGGUCCAACAGCCUAACCCUGCCACUGGACCGCAGGUGCCACCGUUCGCGGGCAGGGGCGGAGGACCCAACAACCGGCAGCCCAGCUGCCUUGGGGUGAAGCCUCCGAGCACCACAGGAACAUCCAGGACUGGAUAUCCCUGUGCGUCGGGGGCCGAGUUUCUCUACUCGAAUCCGACAGCUAACUUCGCAGGCUUGUAGAGAGGGAACCA